UGUAUUUUCCACCUCGCUGCCGCGGAUGCGUUCCAAAAUUCAGCCUAUAAGGUUAUGAAAUAUGAAUAAAGCUACGUAGCAAUAUUAUAGCAAAGUUACAAAUGUCAGAAUUUUAGAUGAUCGAUGGCAGUAAUAUGAACGUGGACAGCAUUGACUCGCCGGUGUAAGACACUCCAGAGAGACCCUAUUCUACAUGAAUCAUCACAUUGAGGACAGGUCAAGAUGCAAAAGUGGAACUAUAUGAAAGGGGAAAGGGAGCUUGGUGAUGGUGGACCCCCUUUUUGCUUUAGUUGUGAAAGGGUCUUUCCAGACCAAACGUCAUUUCAUGACCACUUUUGUCCUGCGGCUGGUUUCAUCUGCUCCUGUGGAACAGAGUUCUCCAUGUAUGUUGAUAUGAUGGACCACAGUGGGUUACAUGAACCAGGCCACACUGUAAUUAAUUAUAGCACCAUAAAGAAGGAACAAUAUCAGAGGGAGAGAGAAUACAAGGAGCAGCUUUCGAGGCUGGUAUUGACGGCGGGGCAGGGAAGCUGGGCUAAGCCUGGACCGACUCGGAUGCUAUCGGCCCCUAUUCCACGAGCUACAAAGCCUCCACCUGGUCCAAGUGCCCCAACAACAGACCUCUGGCACCAAUUCCAGCCAGUGGUGUUGGUGGAGACCCUGCGCAAGUUUGGAAGGACAAAGCCCUACAGGUGUGCCUACUGUGAACUGGGCUUUGCAACAAAAGACUUACUCGUAUGGCACCACAACACUCAUGCAAGAAAUAAAGUCCAUGGCUGCCUGCGGUGCGGGGUUCUCCUGCUCAGUAACAAUAAGUCACCACAGCCUGGCCACCACCAGUGUGGAUCAUAUCGGGCAACUCCUGAAACCAGAUUCACCACUGCCACAGUGCUGAGUAACAGGAAACAGCCCGCUGGGUAUGCUAAGAAGGUUGUCCAGCGUCAGCCGUGUCCGGACCCGUUCAAUGGGGAGCUGCAGCUAGGGAUGCAUAUGGUCUCACAGCAGCCCAUUCCAGGGACUUCUGGAACAAAAUACUUGAAGUGUAGAGUGUGUCAGGAGCCCUUCCAAACUGUCAAGCUGCUCGAGAGGCACCGUUGCACAAUGGCGGCGUCCUUUUUUGCACAGGAACUAGGUCUGAUGUCUGGCAAACAGCUCAAUGGUCACAGAAAAGGGGAGGGGACCAGCCCAUACUCCUUGCCUCAAAGCAAUGGUGACAAUGAGCUGGCGUUCAACAUUCAAACUUCAACGAAUGUAACUGUAUACGACCACAAAGCAGUAGGCCCGGAUAGGGGCACAGGGUUGUCUGCCGUUUCUGUAAAAACUGAGGUUUCGGAUGAUGACUGUUUUGUGAUUGAGGAUGCGUUUUCGUGCUAGUCGGAACUAGGAAACUCUGAAAUUUCCGACUUGCUAACUGGUUGAACACAGCAUGUGUAUAAAAACCAGUUAGUAAAUCGGAAAUGUCCGUGUUUCCUAGUUCCGACUAGCACGUGAAUGUGGCAUAAAAGCUCCUUCACCAAACCAGGUCAGCUGUUAUACCAACAAUUAACCUCUUCCCUCCCAGUACUACAGACAUGAACAGUGCAAAAAGCAUUCCCAAUGUGAACCCUCUGCAUCUGCCACGGACAUAAACAUCUUCUAUGGGUUAUGGGUAUGGUCCCUUUUUGUAAGGUAGCGGCUUAACUCUUAUCUAACUACUCAAUUUACAACUAAUUUGUCAGUAGCCUAGAUUUUAUUUUUUACCUUGAUUUUAUUUUUCAGUGUGUUUAUCAAAUGACAUUGAAAAUGUUACAUAUGCAGUAUCAAAUCAGUGUAUGGUUCAGAUAACCACAAACAUUGUAUGAUAGCUUGUCUUUUGAAAAUGUGCUUGUUUUUUUUACAGUAGCUUUACUGAAAAUGUGGUAUAAGCAGCAUUGGCCAUAUCACAAGAACAUGUUGGUUCUUUCUAGCCAUUUCUGUGGUCUUGGAAUAAAAUAUUGUUUUGUU